ACUCAAAUGAAUUGACGGGGGCCCGCACAAGCAGUGGAGUAUGUGGUUUAAUUCGAAGCAACGCGAAGAACCUUACCAGGGCUUGACAUCCCUAGAAAGCGCACGAGAGUGCGCCGUGCCUUCGGGAACUAGGUGACAGGUGGUGCAUGGUUGUCGUCAGCUCGUGUCGUGAGAUGUUGGGUUAAGUCCCGCAACGAGCGCAACCCUUAUUGUUAGUUGCUAACAUUCAGUUGAGCACUCUAACGAGACUGCCGUUGACAAAACGGAGGAAGGAGAGGAUGAUGUCAAAUCAUCAUGCCCCUUAUGUCCUGGGCUACACACGUACUACAAUGGCUGUUUAACAACGGGAAGCCAAGGCGCGAGCCGGAGCAAAUCCCCAAAAGCAGCCCCAGUUCGGAUUGCAGGCUGAAACUCGCCUGCAUGAAGUUGGAAUUGCUAGUAAUCGCGGAUCAGCAUGCCGCGGUGAAUACGUUCCCGGGCCUUGCACACACCGCCCGU
rnacentral:rRNA from 1 species